UUUUAGAUAGUGUUAUGUAUUUAUUUCUUACCUAUAGAAACCUGUCAGCUAAGAUCCGGACUACAACAAAGCACGUCUACUCUACUAUAUUCUUUUGCGAUAAUCAAUAGAUUCUUCUAACAUCGUAAAGGAAGACAAAAGAGUAUACAUACUUAGUUGUCGUCGUAUCUUUGUUGAGAAGUUUCUAAAUGGCACAUAGAAAGUACAUAAAACUAUAUGAA